rnacentral:rRNA from 1 species
AUUGAACGCUGGCGGCAUGCUUUACACAUGCAAGUCGAACGGCAGCGGGGAGGAGCUUGCUUCUCUGCCGGCGAGUGGCGAACGGGUGAGUAAUACAUCGGAACGUGUCGAGAAGAGGGGGAUAACCACCCGAAAGGGUGGCUAAUACCGCAUACAUUCUGAGGAAGAAAGCUGGGGACCUAGGAAUAGGCCUAGCGCUUUUUGAGCGGCCGAUGUCGGAUUAGCUAGUUGGUGAGGUAAAGGCUCACCAAGGCGAAGAUCUGUAGCGGGUCUGAGAGGAUGAUCCGCCACACUGGGACUGAGACACGGCCCAGACUCCUACGGGAGGCAGCAGUGGGGAAUUUUGGACAAUGGGGGCAACCCUGAUCCAGCCAUGCCGCGCGUAUGAAGAAGGCCUUAGGGUUGUAAAGUACUUUUGUUAGGGAAGAAAAGUCAGCUGUGAAUAAUGGCUGAUACUGACGGUACCUAAAGAAUAAGCACCGGCUAACUACGUG